rnacentral:rRNA from 1 species
GACGAACGCUGGCGGCGUGCUUAACACAUGCAAGUCGAACGGAAAGGCCCUGCUUUUGUGGGGUGCUCGAGUGGCGAACGGGUGAGUAACACGUGAGUAACCUGCCCUUGACUUUGGGAUAACUUCAGGAAACUGGGGCUAAUACCGGAUAGGAGCUCCUGCUGCAUGGUGGGGGUUGGAAAGAUUCGGCGGUUGGGGAUGGACUCGCGGCUUAUCAGCUUGUUGGUGGGGUAGUGGAUUACCAAGGCUUUGACGGGUAGCCGGCCUGAGAGGGUGACCGGCCACCUGGGGACUGCGAGACGGCCCAGACUCCUACGGGACGCAGCAGUGGGGAAUAUUGCACAAUGGGCGGAAGCCUGAUGCGGCAACGCCGCGUGCGGGAUGACGGCUUUCGGGUUGUAAACCGCUUUCGCCUGUGACGAAGCGUUAGUGACGGUAAUGGGUAAAGAAGCACCGGCUAACUACGUG